GAUGAACGCUAGCUACAGGCUUAACACAUGCAAGUCGAGGGGAAACGACAGAGGAAGCUUGCUUCCUUUGGGCGUCGACCGGCGCACGGGUGAGUAACGCGUAUCCAACCUUCCCGCAAGUAAGGGAUAACCCGUAGAAAUGCGGCCUAAUACCUUAUGUUUUCCUUAGAGGGCAUCUGAUGAGGAACAAAGAUCCGUCGCUUGCGGAUGGGGAUGCGUCUGAUUAGUUAGUCGGCGGGGUAACGGCCCACCGAGACGACGAUCAGUAGGGGUUCUGAGAGGAAAGUCCCCCACAUUGGAACUGAGACACGGUCCAAAACUCCUACGGGAGGCAGCAGUGAGGAAUAUUGCACAAUGGAGGAAACUCUGAUGCAGCCAUGCCGCGUGUGUGAAGAAGGCCUUCGGGUUGUAAAGCACUUCGGAGGGGAGGAAAAGAUGACGUUACCUCAGAAGAAGCACCGGCUAACUCCGUGCCAGCAGCCG
rnacentral:rRNA from 1 species